GAGUUGGCCAGGUAGUCGCUGCUUCAUUGAUGUCCUUUGGGAGACUGAUGAAGGGGAGGAAAGUCCGGGCUCCAUAGGGCAGAGUGCCAGGUAACGCCUGGGGGGCGAAAGCCUACGACAAGUGCAGCAGAGAGCAAACCGCCGAUGGCCUUUGGGCACAGGUAAGGGUGAAAGGGUGCGGUAAGAGCGCACCGCGCGUCUAGUAAUAGUUCGUGGCAUGGUAAACUCCACUCGGAGCAAGACCAAAUAGGUUCCUAAUGGCGCGGCCCGCGUUGGGAACGGGUAGGUUGCUUGAGCCUGUGAGCGAUUGCAGGCCUAGAUGAAUGACUAUCACCGUGUAAGCGGUACAAAACCCGGCUUAUCGGCCGACUCC
rnacentral:RNase_P_RNA from 1 species